rnacentral:rRNA from 1 species
CCCUUAGUUAUCCUAGGCCGCACGCGUGUUACAAUGACUUUUUCAGCAAGUUCUCCUGGCCCGAGAGGGUGCGGGUAAUCUGAAAUCAAAGUCGUGUUAGGGAUAGAUCUUUGCAAUUAUAGAUCUUGAACGAGGAUUUUGUAGUAAGUGCGCGUCAUCACCGCGUACUGACUGCGUCCCUGCUGUUUGUACACACCGCCCGUCGCUCCUACCGAUUGAGUGGUCCGGUGAGGCUUUGGGAUCUGAGCGGAAAGAGCGUUUCGCUGUUUCUGCUCGGAAAACUCAGUCGAACCUUAUCAUUUAGAGGAAGGAGAAGUCGUAACA